AGGAGUGACUUUCGAAAUGUCUAACAACUGUGAUGGUCUGGUCUUGGACACCAACCAGCUGGAAUGGGCAGAGUUCCGCCAUUCCUGGUUAUGGUGAGGAUAGGAUUAUUCAUCAACUGUUCCAUUUGCUGCUGUAUAGUCCUGAGCCCCCUGCCGUGAGGAAGAAUCACAUGACUGUCCUGGCCAGCGACACGUGAAUGGAAAUGUCAGAGGUAACCUUCAAACUAAAGCAGUGAAACAAGCACAGGCAAUUCUCUCGUUACCUGCUUUCCUUCCGUGGCCACCAAUGAAGCCUCAUGUGGGGAUUAAGAAAAGCCUUCGGAUCCAGUUUGCCCAAUUACUGAGUCACCCCGUGGAGAAGAACAGCCCCGGAGAAUUGCUGAGAAUCCUUGUCGUAAAAAGGAAGACAGAGAAAGAUAAAGGAAAAGCAUGGAAAGAUGCAAGCUUUGCAUCUUCUGCUACAGGCAGAUGAGAGGAAAGUCUGUCUCCCUGGGGCCAGACCUGCCACAGAAGAGGCGAGCCCAGGAUGGCUGUAACCCCAACUUGGCCACUCCGUGUACAACUCGGCCAGGUUGCAUAGCCUUUCUGGGAAAACCGAGGAAGCUGGCUGAUUCACAGAUUUCCUCUAGUGUCGGCCUUCUGUGGUUCUGCCUUAUUAGGAAGGCUUGGCUCAUUCAGAGGACGAGGUAAAGGAACAAAAAACCCAGGCCUUCCACAUACUGGACAUUACCAAGUAACUUGACUUACAGUGGUUCUUCAGAAGAACGUGCCUUACAGAAACGUUAUCAGUGAAUGUCCUGGUAUAAAACAGAUGGCUCUCUCAAACCAGGACACCAGGGAAGUUUACUAGAGUUCACUUACAAAGGUGUGAGCAGGGCUUAGGGAACCCCAGGGAUGGGGGGGAAUGAUGCAGUACCCAGGCUUUGCAACUGCAUGACUGUUAACACCCUUAGUGGAAAAAAGGUGGUUCCAGGAACCCUGAGGGAGAAGAUAUGUGGAAGGCCACCUUUGGUAAGCACAACCCUGCAGGAAGAGAACGCAGGAAAUUAGACUGAGACCUCUCUCUUCUUCUGCCCUCAGUCUCCUGCUGGGGCCUCCCAUGGGCCAAGUCCAACAGGAAGCUGAGUACAGGGAGCCCAUCAGUGAAAUCCACACAGGCUGUCCUCUGGAGCCAGAGCAGGGCGGUAAAACCUGGCAACGAAGUUGGAGGGGCAAAUGGAUGGGUGGCUCCAAAGUGGUCGGCACCCUGCUAUCCAGGAACCUGGCCAGGGCUGCAGGGAAGCACCCUCCCUUGGAGGACCCUUAUGGUCUUUCAAAGGAUGACCUGGGAUCCAGGGUGGGAAGGAGCCUUGGCUCUUUCCGGCCUGGAGGGGAGUGAUGCAGUUUGUUGGACAAAUGACUAGUGUUCUUCCUAGUGUGACAGCAUUGGCCAGGCUCCUAUCCAUGCACUGAUGUGUACAUUUGUUCAGACAUUUGUUCAGCGGCCACCUGAAAAUGACUCUGAGCCAAGCCAGGGCUAAGCCAGGGCUAGGAGGCACUAAAUCAAGAAAUGUGAAACAGCCCCAGCCACCUUAGCUGGUGAAAUAUGCCCAGAGCCACACAGGGAUGGGUUCUUUCUACCAGUUCUGUGAGUCUGGAGGCUGUUCUCAGGUACCCCAUCUGUAGUAUGGGCCAACCACCUUUUCGUCCCAGAGUUGUCUUGACCGUUCAAAAGGAACAUUUCAGAAAAGCAGAAGGCGUGGAGGAAGAGCUCCACGUUUGGGAAUCAGUGGCCUCUGUUCCAAGCACACCUCUGCCCCAUGUUCCCAUCCACCGCCCUAUUAUGGUG